rnacentral:tmRNA from 2 species
GGGGGUGUAUUAGGUUUCGACAACUUUCUAAACAUUAAAAUAGCGAGUAGUGGAUUCUCGUUGGCCACUAUAAAAACGAGAAAAUUAAAAUAAACGCAGACAGAGAAGUUUGUCUUGCUGCUUAAUUUAUAGCGGCAUGUUCUGUUAGAUUGUGCUAAAAGGUUUAACAAGAGCAUCGAUUAUUUUAGCAUAACAAAUCUAUUUUUGAUUGCAAAAUAGAGGGUACUUUAGCAAUCCUUUUAUCUACACGUUUUGUAAAUGUUAUAGGUAAAUAAAAGUAUUAAAACAUUUACUGCACUCGGAGAAAUUUUAAUGUAAGGGAUUUUGGACGUGGGUUCGACUCCCACCACCUCCACCA